AGAAGAAAGAAGGGAUAGAGGGAAGGUAAACACUUUGCAGAUGGGAGAAAACAAGGUGCCAAGUGCAGAAGUCAGGAACAAUAAAGACAGCCGGGUACUAAUGAUCUGUUUACUGCUGUUUAUGCUCUGUGUGUGUCAGGGGCACGCACAUUUAGAGAGCUCAUUAUGGUUGCAAUUAGAAUGCACCAUCGCUAGAUAUUUAACUCCUUUUUCUUUUAAAUUAGCAUUUUAAUAACAUUCUUUGAGCAGAGAAACAAAAUGACCAUUUUUCACGGACAAACUUCUAGCUGUAGGUGCAACUUUAAUGGCAAAGUUGUGAAGGGGAAAGAAGGGGAAAAAAGGCCAU
rnacentral:lncRNA from 1 species